rnacentral:lncRNA from 1 species
AAUGACCUAGAUGGUCAAAUAUUUCCAAAGCACAUUCUUCAUCGAUUUUCAACUUUCAAUAAUCCUUUCCACUUGUUCAUAAUCACAUCCAUACUUUUAAGUAUUUCAACAUGACAAGUACUAAAUUACCAUAGGCACAUAAAGAACCAACAUAUUCCUUAUCACAUAUAUGUAAGCUUACAAAUCACAAUCCUUACCUUGUACUGGC